UACGUAGGGUGCGAGCGUUAAUCGGAAUUACUGGGCGUAAAGCGUGCGCAGGCGGUUUUGCAAGCCGGAUGUGAAAUCCCCGGGCUCAACCUGGGAAUGGCAUUCGGGACUGCAAGGCUGGAGUGCGGCAGAGGAGACUGGAAUUCCUGGUGUAGCGGUGAAAUGCGCAGAUAUCAGGAAGAACACCCGUGGCGAAGGCGGCUCUCUGGGACGGUACUGACGCUGAGACGCGAAAGCGUGGGGAGCGAACAGG
rnacentral:rRNA from 1 species